UAAACACACUUAAUAUUACUAACACGAUUUUAGACUAAAUAAGAAGCAGCAGCAUUAUAUUUUGUUCGUUUACAUCCCGCUUUAGACAACCAAGUGUUUCUAAGCAAGGUUACUUUUUUCAAUGUUACCUACGAUUUAGUCGCAAAGUCAUGUUUGCAUUUAAACAUGAUUACAAAAAGUUAAUACGUUUGACUUCGUAAAAAACACAUUUUUACCUCAAUUAGCUCGUAUAUAUUCUUUUCGAACUUUAAAUACCCCUAUUUUUAUUAUGGAAAAUCAUUCUCCUCCCUGAUAUUGACAAUAAGCGAUGUGCUAUCUUAACAUAGAAUAACAAAAAGAUCGCUAUUUG
rnacentral:lncRNA from 1 species